CUGUUGGAGGUUUGGUGCUUGAGUUCACGCGGAAAGAGGACUGGUGAAAAUAUGGAAGGCCUUUUGAAGGAGAUUCAACGGGCCAGAGCAGAGACUGUGGGAAGUCACGGUACCUCUGUUAUGAAUAAGCCACAGAAUUGAGAUGGAAAGGAUCUUUCCAGUCAAAUGUGUUUUCUGCUGGAUCAGAUCAUGUGCUGGUGGCAGCAAAGAACAGAGUGUUGGUGACAGGUAGGGAAUUGCUGGGAACACACCAGGACAAUGAAUGCAUGCUCAGUUCUCUCCAGAUCGCAGGUUGUGUGGCCCCUGGCCCUGGCUGAAGGCACUUUGUCCUGAGUCUGGUUGCCUAAAGAGAGAUAGAAAAGGCAAAGGAUGGAGACGGGGAGUAAAAAGGGAGCAGCCAAGGAGAAUGCAACAGAUCGGCGAGUCUCAGAUUCC